rnacentral:rRNA from 1 species
UACGUAGGGGGCAAGCGUUGUCCGGAUUUAUUGGGCGUAAAGAGCUCGUAGGUGGUUUGGUUAGUCGGAUGUGAAAUCUCCAGGCUCAACCUGGAGGGGUCAUUCGAUACUGCCAUGACUAGAGGUCGGUAGGGGAGUGUGGAAUUCCUGGUGGAGCGGUGAAAUGCGCAGAUAUCAGGAGGAACACCCGUAGCGAAGGCGGCACUCUGGGCCGGAACUGACGCUGAGGAGCGAAAGCGUGGGGAGCGAGCAGG